rnacentral:siRNA from 1 species
AACGACUCUCGGCAACGGA